GCCUCCUUGGCUCAGUUGGUUAGAGCGCGAGUCUCAUAUUACUAUGUGGAGAUGAUUGUAUCUUCUUAAUCUCGAGGUCGCAAGUUCGAGCCUUGCAGGGGGCA
rnacentral:tRNA from 1 species